ACAGCAGUAGCCGCGGUAAUACGAGGGGGGCAAGCGUUGUUCGGAAUUAUUGGGCGUAAAGGGUGCGUAGGCGGUUUGACAAGUCUUAUGUGAAAUCUCUGGGCUCAACCCAGAGUCUGCAUGGGAAACUGUCGAGCUUGAGUAUGGGAGAGGUGAGUGGAAUUUCCGGUGUAGCGGUGAAAUGCGUAGAUAUCGGAAGGAACACCUGUGGCGAAAGCGGCUCACUGGACCAUUACUGACGCUGAUGCACGAAAGCUAGGGGAGCAAACAGGAUUAGAUACCCCCGUAGUCCCUGUCUCUUAUAC
rnacentral:rRNA from 1 species